GACGAACGCUGGCGGCGUGCUUAACACAUGCAAGUCGAACGGUGAAGCGCCUUCCUUUUUGGUGGGUGUGGAUGAGUGGCGAACGGGUGAGUAACACGUGAGUAACCUGCCCCCUUCUUCUGGAUAACCGCAUGAAAGUGUGGCUAAUACGGGAUAUUCUGGGUCUGUCGCAUGAUGGGUCUGGGAAAGAUAUUGUUUCGGUGGGGGAUGGGCUCGCGGCCUAUCAGCUUGUUGGUGGGGUGAUGGCCUACCAAGGCGGUGACGGGUAGCCGGCCUGAGAGGGUGGACGGUCACACUGGGACUGAGACACGGACCAGACUCCUACGGGAGGCAGCAGUGGGGAAUAUUGCACAAUGGGAGCAAGCAUGAUGCAGCGACGCCGCGUGAGGGAUGGAGGCCUUCGGGUUGUGAACCUCUUUCGCCAGUGAAGCAGGCCUGCCUCGUUUGUGGGUGGGUUGACGGUAGCUGGAUAAGAAGCGCCGGCUAACUACGUG
rnacentral:rRNA from 1 species